ACAGCAGUAGCCGCGGGAAUACAGAGGGUGCGAGCGUUAAUCGGAUUUACUGGGCGUAAAGCGUGCGUAGGCGGCUAAUUGAGUCGGAUGUGAAAUCCCCGAGCUUAACUUGGGAAUUGCAUUCGAUACUGGUUAGCUAGAGUGUGGGAGAGGAUGGUAGAAUUCCAGGUGUAGCGGUGAAAUGCGUAGAGAUCUGGAGGAAUACCGAUGGCGAAGGCAGCCAUCUGGCCUAACACUGACGCUGAGGUACGAAAGCAUGGGGAGCAAACAGGAUUAGAUACCCCUGUAGUCCCUGUCUCUUAUAA
rnacentral:rRNA from 1 species